rnacentral:rRNA from 1 species
UACGUAGGCAGCAAGCGUUGUUCGGAGUUACUGGGCGUAAAGGGCGCGUAGGCGGCCUGCUAAGUCGAACGUGAAAUCCCUGGGCUCAACCCAGGAACUGCGUCCGAUACUGGUUGGCUUGAAUCCGGGAGAGGGAUGUGGAAUUCCAGGUGUAGCGGUGAAAUGCGUAGAUAUCUGGAGGAACACCGGUGGCGAAGGCGACAUCCUGGACCGGUAUUGACGCUGAGGCGCGAAAGCCAGGGGAGCAAACGGG